rnacentral:rRNA from 1 species
UACGAAGGGGGCUAGCGUUGCUCGGAAUCACUGGGCGUAAAGGGUGCGCAGGUGGCCAAGUGUGUUAGGCGUGAAAGCCCGGGGCUUAACCCCGGAAUUGCACCUAAAACUACUUGGCUAGAGCAUUGGAGAGGGGAGCAGAAUUCAUGGUGUAGCAGUGAAAUGCGUAGAUAUCAUGAGGAAUACCAGAGGCGAAGGCGGCUCCCUGGACAAUAGCUGACACUCAGGCACGAAAGCGUGGGGAGCAAAAGGG